rnacentral:rRNA from 1 species
GAUGAACGCUAGCGGCAGGCUUAAUACAUGCAAGUCGAGGGGUAGCCAGAUUGUAGCAAUACAAUUGUUGACGACCGGCAAACGGGUGCGGAACACGUACACAACCUUCCUACAAGUGGGGAAUAGCCCAGAGAAAUUUGGAUUAAUACCCCGUAACAUAGCGAUGUGGCAUCACAUUGCUAUUAUAGCUUCGGCGCUUGUUGAUGGGUGUGCGGCUGAUUAGAUAGUUGGCGGGGUAACGGCCCACCAAGUCUACGAUCAGUAGCUGAUGUGAGAGCAUUAUCAGCCACACGGGCACUAAGACACGGGCCCGACUCCUACGGGAGGCAGCAGUAAGGAAUAUUGGACAAUGGACGCAAGUCUGAUCCAGCCAUGCCGCGUGAAGGAUUAAGUUCCUCUUGAUUGUAAACUUCUUUUAUAAGGGACGAAAAAAGGUCUUUCUAGAUCGUCUGACGGUACCUUAUGAAUAAGCACCGGCUAACUCCGUGCCAGCAGCCGCAGUAACAC